rnacentral:lncRNA from 1 species
GCAUAUGGAGGUUCCCAGGCUAGGGGUCUCAUCAGAGGUGUAGCCGCCGGCCUACACCAGAGCCACAGCAACGCCAGAUCCGAGCCGCCUCUGCGACCACGUCUGCCACUCCUUUCACUCCUUUCAUUCUUUUCCUUCCUUUCUCUCUGCCUCUCCUCUUACCACUAUUAUUUGUGCUAUUAUAUUUAGACAAACUUUUUUUUUUUUUUUUUGUCUUUCCUAGGGCCACACUUGCGACAUAUAGAGGUUCCGAGGCUAGGGGUCUACUCGGAGCUGUAGCCAUAGUCACAGCCACAGUAACAUGGGAGCCGAGCCACGUCUGUGACUUAUACCACAGCUCACGGCAAUGCCGGAUCCUUAACCCACUGAGCGAGGCCAGGGAUUGAACCCAUAACCUCAUGGUUCCUAGUCGGAUUCGUUAACCACUGAGCCACAACAGGAACUCCUCAUUAGAACUUUCUAAAUAAAAAAAGGACCUAUCUGUGGCACGCGUACCACCAUCUCCUAUUCACUGCUCUUGCCAGAUGUCAAUAAUCAAUCACCAUGCCCUCCUCAACUCAGAACUCAAGGAAGUCACUGCCAAUUGAUUGUCAUUCACACAGGAGAUGACAUUUUCAUGAUUUUAUGUAAAUGAUUAGAAUAGGGAGACCAGGAGUUCCCACUGUGACUCAGUGGAAAUGAAUCUGACUGUCCAUGAAGAUGCAGGUUUGAUCCCUGGCCUUGAUCAGUGGGCUAAGGAUCCGAUGUUGCCAUGUGGCGUAGGUUGCAGAUGUGGUGUGGAUCCCGAGUUGCUGUGGCUGUUGCUCUGGUGUAGCAGCUACAGCUCCGAUUUGACCCCUAGCCUGGGAACCUCCAUAUGCCCUAGGUGCAGCCCUGAAAAAGCAAACAACCAACCAACAAGAAUAGGGAGACCAAAUCAGGCAGAUACUUGAUAUGCUUGUCCCUUUCACGUAUCCUUUGUUAGGAGAGUGUCACAAGAAAGGCAGGUUCUAGGACGGCUUCUCCUUGAGUCCUGUGGGUUGUGAGUCAGUCUGGGUGCAGCACUGUGCUCACUUUUCCAUCAGCCUGAGAAAACGCUGAGAAAGAAGAGAACCAUGGCCUGAGUUUCCCACUCGCCUCUGUCCCAGCCCCAGCGACAGUUUAUGGAAGACCUUUACCAGUACGUACAGGUGGGAAUCUUGCCUUUUCUCUCCUACCAGAGAUUUCAUACUUACCGAUGCACCAGCUUUCCCCAUAAACUAGCUCCCAGGCCCUGUGAUCACUGCCCUCUCCCUCCCCUCAGCUGCUUUGCUGUUUUGCUGUCUCUGUGAUGGUCCUCAAGACUCAGGUCCAGGGCUGGUCUCCAUCGAGUCUUUCAGUGGAAGCAGAGAAGAGCCAUUUCCCCACAUCCAUUCCUGACCCGUUGUUCCCAGAACGUGGGCCUUGCCAUUGUGGGCACCACCCACUGCUGCUCUGCCAACCCCAGCCCUGCCUUGGGCACGGGCUGACUCCUGUAGGCUUGUGGAGAUCGCGUGCCCUCCUGCCUACGUUUCAGAAGUCAAAGCUCAUUCUUGCUCUUCUUUAUCUUGUCUCUGCAUCAUGGGUGAAUCAGCAUCUGGGCCGACCCAUGGGGCUCGGCUGCUCGUGCUGUAUCUGAGUCUGGACCUGGGACUCAACAGGACCCUAGGUCUCUGACUUUCUAGCCACCAUCACACUUUCUGGCUUCUCCUCCCAGCGUGUUCUGUGUCCUAGCCUGAGAAUCAGCUUGGAGGACGUCUCCAGUGUCUGCCGUAUCCCCCAAGUUAAGUGACUGAGCCUCUCACCAGCCCUGUGUAGGCAGCAGCACUGGUCACUGGCAGGCCUCCCCAGAUUCCUCUCCUGGGGUGUCUGUGUCUUUCAUGCCAUUGGCACCUGGCCAGAGGUAUGUCUCCGGGCAGCCCUCUUCCAUGCACCUGCUGAGGCUCUGGAAAGUGCCUCUUGUUUUCUCCGCUGCCUGGGUUUCCCCCAGGCGAUGGGUUUGGGGGACUGGUUGAGCACUGUAAUAUCCAGAGAGUCCAUGGGGUUUUAACAAGCACAGACUGUCUGGAAAGUGUCUUCAGACUCUUCACACUCCUUUGACUGGAGACCAUGUCUUCAAAAAUCCUCUUCCUUUGCGCCAGAGCUUCAGGGGAGAGGGUGCCCUGCACGCCUCUGGUGUCUUAGGUUCCUGGGAGCAGAAAGACGGGGAUUCAAGAACACAUGUUUUAUUGAGGGAAAACACUCAGGAGGAGUCUGUGGGAGAGGGAGAGAAGCAGAGAAAAGCAGAAGGAAGGGGCCGAAAAGGAUGCUUUCUGAGGCCAAGGUCAGCUUUGUCCUGCUUCAUUGUGGGGGAUGGUCAAUCCUGUAGCUCAGAUCACAGCCAGGAUGGGUCAGGGGCCAAGGUACUUAUAUUAGUCAGUCAGUCCUUGGACAACCCCAGGCCAUGGGGAACUCAGCCUUCAGGGAGCAGUUCUGAGGACAGAGCCCCUGCUUUAGCCUUGGCAUCUGGGGGAUGUAGUGCCAACUGCCAGGGGAUAUCUGAGCUGGCACUGACUGCAGUGGGAGCUCAGGAAGAAGGAAGCUAAUUCUUAUUGAAGGGCUGCUGUGUGCGGGUGUGGGGAGCUUCUGCAUCCAUCUUCUCAUUUAAUUCUUUUUUUUAAUUUAUUUUCUAUUCUUUUUGUCUAUUUAGGGCCACACCUGCAGCAUAUGAAAGUUCCCAGGCUAGGGGUCGCAUUCCCACAGCCACAGCAACACCAGAUCUGAGCCACAUCUGUGACCUACGCCACAGCUCAUGGCAAAGCCGGAUCCUUAACCCACUGAGCGAGGCCAGGGUUAGAACCUGAAUCCUCAUGGAUACUCGUCAGGUUCGUUAACCACUGAGCCAUGGUGGGAACUCUGUUUUUUUUCUUGCUCUUUUUUUUUUUUGGACUUUACGUAUCCUGGAUAUAAAUUUAUUGUUAGUGUUAUAUUUGGUCUAUGGCUUGUCUUUUCUAUUCGAUGGUGGUUAUUUUAAACCUUAAUGCAUCGUAUUUUUCCUCUAUGGUUUGUGUUGUCUGUUUUUCAUAAUAUUUUUCUUCUAGUUUAUUGAGAUAUGAAUGGCAUACAGCACAGUAUAAGUUUAAGGUGUACAGCAUAAUGAUUUGACUUACAGACAUCAUGAAAUGAUUAUCAUAUUAAAUUUAGCGAACAUCCAUCAUCUUAUAUAGGUAAAAAAUUAAGGAAAUAGAAAAAAAUUUUCCUUAUGAUGAGAACGCUUAGGAUUUACUCUCUAAACAACGUUCACUUAUUACCUACAACAUUGUUAAUUAUAUUUAUCAUGUUGUACAUACAUCAUAUCCCCAGUACUUAUUUAUCUUCUAACUGGAAGUUUGUACCUUUUGCCUACUUUCAUCUUAUUCCCCCCACCUGAACCCACCACCUGAUCUCUUAUUCUGUUAAGGUUGUUUGGUUUUGAAAUAUAAUUGAUCUACAAUAUUCUGUUAGUUCCCGUUAUGCAAAUGAUCACCACGAUAAGUCUAGUUACCACCUGUCAUCAUAAAGACAUUACGUAAUUAUUGACUGUAUUCUCCACGUAGUGCCUUUCACACCUGUGACUCACUUAUUUUGUAACUAGGAGUCAGUCCCUCUUAAUCUCCCUCACCUAUUUCUCUCCUUCAUUCCCCCUCUUCCCUGGUAACCACCCGUUUCUUCUCUGUAUCUAUGACUUUGCUUCUGUUUGGUUAUAUUUGUUCAUUUCUUAUCUAGAUUACAUAUACGAGUGAAAUCAUACAGUAUUUGUCUUUUUCUGUCUGAUGUAUUUCACUUAAUAUAAUAGCCCUUAGGUUCAUCCAUACUGUUGCAAGAUUUCAUUCUUUCUUAACGGCUGAGUAGUAUUCCAUUGUGUGAUACCUCCUAUCUGUCUGUCUGUCUGUCUGUCUAUCUAUCUGUCUGUCUAUCCAUCUAUCCAUCUAUCAUAUAUCAUAUCUACUUUAUCCAUUCAUCUAUUUAUGGGCACUUAGGAUGCUUUCACAUGUUGGCUAUUGUAAAUAGUGCUGCAAUGAACAUAAGGGUGCAUGUAUCUUUUCAAAUUAGUGUUUUUGUUUUCUUUGGAUAAAUACCCAGAAGUGAAAUUGCUAGAUCAUAUGGUUGUUCUAUUUUGACUUUUUUUUUGAGGAAUCUUUAUACUGUUUUCCGUAGUGGCUGCACCAGUUUACAUUCCCACCAGCAGCACACAAGGGUUCCCUUUCUCUGCAUCCUUGCCAAUACCUGUUAUUGUCUUUUUGAUAAUAGCCAUUCUGGCAGACGUAUGGUGAUGUCUCCUUGUGGUUUUAGUUUGCAUUUCCCUAAUAAUUAAUGAUGCUGAGCAUCUUUUCGUAUGCCCCUUGUCCAUCUGUAUGUCUUCUUUGGAAAAAUGUCUAUUCAGGUCCUCUGCCACCUUUUUAAUACACCAGUCUUUUGUUUUUUGAUGUUGAGUUGUAUGAGUUCUUUGUGUAUUUUGCAUAUGAAUACCUUAUUGGAUGUAUCAUUUGCAAAUGUCUUCUCUCAUUCAGUGGGCAGCCUUUGCAUUUUGUUGAUAGUUUCCUUUACUGUGCAAAAGCUUUUUAGUUUGAUGUAGUCCCAUUUGUUUAUUUUUGCUUUGUUUUCCUUUCCUGAUGAGAUAUAUCCAGAAAAAUAUUGCUAAGAACAAUGUCAAAGAAUGUCCUGCCUGUGUUUUCUUCUAGAAGUUUUGGGGUUUCAGGUCUUACAUUUAAGCCCUUACUUCAUUUUGAGUUUAUUUUUCUGUGUGGUGUGAGAAAGUCCAGGUUGAUUCUCUUGCAUGUAGCUGUCCAGCUGUCCCAAUGUUAUUUAUGGAAGAGGCUCUCUUUUCCCUAUUGUAUAGUUGCCUCCUUUGUUGUAGAUUAAUUAUCCAUAUAAGUGUGGGUUUAUUUCUGGACCCUCUAUUCUGUUCCAUCAAUCUAUAGUCUGUUAUUUUGCCAACACCAUACUAUUUUGAUGACUGUAGCUUUGUAGUAUGGUUAAAAAUCAUGGAGUGUGAUAUCUCCAGUUUUGUUCUUCUUUCUCAAGAUUGUUUUGGCUCUUUGGAGUCUUUUGUGUUUGCAUACACUUUUAGAAUUAUCUGUUCUAGUUCUGUGAAAAAUGUCACAUGUAGUUUGAUAGAGAUCACAUUGAAUCUGUAUAUUCCCUUGAAUAGUAUGAUCGUUUCAACAAUAUUAAUUCUUCUAAUCCAUGAGCAUGAUGUAUUCUCUUUGUUUGUGUCAUCUUUGGUUUCCUUCAUCAGUGUCUUAGAGUUUUCUGAGUGUGGGUCUUUCAGUUCCUUAGUUAGAUUUAUUCCUAAGUACUGUAUUAUUUUUGAUGUGAUUGUAAGUGGGAUUGUUUUCUUAUUUUUUUUAUAAUAGUUCAUUGUUAGUGUAUAGAAAUGCAACAGGGAGUUCCCUUUAUGGCUCAGUGGGUUAAGAAUCCAGCUAGUAUCCAUGAGGAUGUGGGUUUGAUCCCUGGCCUCACUCAGUGGGUUAAAGAUCCUGCGUUGCCAUGAGCUAUGGUGUAGGCCACAGAGGCAGCUCAGAUCCUGCGUUGCUGAGGCUGUGGUGUAGAC